GAUUUAUGUCUCGUUGGUGACCAGCGGAGGGUCAUUACCGAGUUUACAACUCCCAAACCCCUGUGAACAUACCUUAUGUUGCCUCGGCGGAUCAGCCCGCGCCCCGUAAAAAGGGACGGCCCGCCGCAGGAACCCUAAACUCUGUUUUUAGUGGAACUUCUGAGUAUAAAAAACAAAUAAAUCAAAACUUUCAACAACGGAUCUCUUGGUUCUGGCAUCGAUGAAGAACGCAGCAAAAUGCGAUAAGUAAUGUGAAUUGCAGAAUUCAGUGAAUCAUCGAAUCUUUGAACGCACAUUGCGCCCGCCAGUAUUCUGGCGGGCAUGCCUGUUCGAGCGUCAUUUCAACCCUCAAGCCCAGCUUGGUGUUGGGAGCUGCAGUCCUGCUGCACUCCCCAAAUACAUUGGCGGUCACGUCGAGCUUCCAUAGCGUAGUAAUUUACACAUCGUUACUGGUAAUCGUCGCGGCCACGCCGUUAAACCCCAACUUCUGAAUGUUGACCUCGGAUCAGGUAGGAAUACCCGCUGAACUUAAGCAUAUCAU
rnacentral:rRNA from 1 species